GUGUCAGCCGCCGCGGUAAAACGUAGGAGCCUAGCGUUAUCCGAAUUUACUGGGCGUAAAGCGCGUGCAGGCGGCUUCGUAAGUGGAUUGUGAAAUCUCCCGGCUCAACUGGGAGGGGACGGUCCAGACUGCGAGGCUGGAGGCAGGGAGAGGGAGGUGGAAUUCCCGGUGUAGUGGUGAAAUGCGUAGAGAUCGGGAGGAACACCAGUGGCGAAAGCGGCCUCCUGGCCCUGACCUGACGCUGAGACGCGAAAGCUAGGGGAGCGAACGGGAUUAGAUACCCCUGUAGUCC
rnacentral:rRNA from 1 species